GUGCUUGCUUCAGCAGCACAUAUACUGAAAUUGGAAUGAUACAGAGUAGAUUAGCACGGUCCCUUCGCAAGGAUGACACGCAAAUUCAUGAAGUGUUUCAUAUAAAA